rnacentral:tRNA from 1 species
GGGAAAGUGGCUCAGUGGUAGAGCUCUUGCCUUGCAUGCAUGAGGCCCUAGGUUCGAUUCCUCAGCACCA